ACAACAUGCGGCUGGGUUGCGUGGCUUUUGUGAUACUUUUUCUCCGCAGAUGUCUCGGUGCUGAAUUGAUACAGUCUCCGAUGUCCAUCACGCGAAAUGAGGGCAAAAUGGCUAGAAUGACCUGUGAUCUGGGCACAGCGAGCUCGGAGUAUAUCCACUGGUAUCGGCAGCCAGAUGGACAACGCCCGGUCAGGAUCGUUUAUUACAAUAACGGGGGCACCGUGCGCGACGAUGGAAUUGAUGACAGAUUUAAAGCGAGGAAAGAUGGAGAAAAGCUGUAUUCUCUAAGUGUGUACAACCUCAAGAAAGAGGAUUCCGGCACCUAUUAUUGUGCCUAUUUGGGACCCACAGAGUUAAACUGCAACGGGUGCCGCUGACAAAAACUCUUCCUCAGUGCAGAGGUCGCACGAAUCAUUUCCGACUCUGCGAAUUCGCAGUUUAUGCCAUA